rnacentral:rRNA from 1 species
AGCGAACGCUGGCGGCAGGCUUAACACAUGCAAGUCGAGCGGGCACUUUCGGGUGUCAGCGGCGGACGGGUGAGUAACGCGUGGGAACGUGCCCUCUGGUUCGGAAUAACUCAGGGAAACUUGAGCUAAUACCGGAUACGCCCUUUUGGGGAAAGGCUUGCUGCCGGAGGAUCGGCCCGCGUCUGAUUAGCUAGUUGGUGAGGUAACGGCUCACCAAGGCGACGAUCAGUAGCUGGUCUGAGAGGAUGAUCAGCCACACUGGGACUGAGACACGGCCCAGACUCCUACGGGAGGCAGCAGUGGGGAAUAUUGGACACUGGGCGCAAGCCUGAUCCAGCCAUGCCGCGUGAGUGAUGAAGGCCUUAGGGUUGUAAAGCUCUUUUAUCCGGGACGAUAAUGACGGUACCGGAGGAAUAAGCCCCGGCUAACUUCGUG